rnacentral:rRNA from 1 species
CCCUUAGAUGUUCUGAGCCGCACGCGCGCUACACUGAUGCAUUCAACGAGUUACCUUGGCCGAGAGGCCUGGGCAAUCUUUUGAACGUGCAUCGUGAUAGGGAUAGAUUAUUGCAAUUAUUAAUCUUGAACGAGGAAUUCCUAGUAAACGCAGUUCAUCAAACUGCAUUGAUUACGUCCCUGCCCUUUGUACACACCGCCCGUCGCACCUACCGAUUGGAUGGUCCGGUGAAGCCUCGGGAUUGUGGCCAGUGCCUUUUUGGUUUUGGUUGCGAGAACUUGUCUAAACCUUAUCAUCUAGAGGAAGGUGAAGUCGUAACA